AAUCCUAACCCUUUCUCUCGUUAAAUCAACAGACCAGAUCAAUUCUAUAAAUCUUCCCUAUUUUAGCUCUAAGAGAUAAAACCCUAAAACUCUAUCCUCUCUUCCUCUCCCUCUCCAGUGCAGCCUCCCUCUCUCCUUCUUCUAGGAGGCAGCAGCGCCGCUACUCUUUCUCCUCCACGACGAGCUCCGGCGAAAUGUGUCCGACGCCGUCCUCUUUCUCCUCUCUCGCCUGACCCUUUCCCUUUACCCUCGCUCUUCCACCUUCUCCUCUCUCCUCUCUUCUCCAGGCCAGGUGAGGAGAAUAACAGAAUCUCCAACGACAGUAAGCAACAGUAAUUGGAGAGAACUAGCGAGGCAGUGCAGCCAGCAGCUCCGGCGAUGCAGUGAAACCAGGCUAGACUCACCGGCCAGGAUCUUGAUUUUAGAGUUCAAGGUUUUAAAGAAUCCUUUUUUUAGAGGCGAAAUCAGAAUUUUCAAGAAGAGGGUUCAAACUCGAUAAAGGGGGUUUAACAUCUACUAUAUAUACAUAAAAAAUUAUUUUAACCAUGUAUAAGUAAUAUAAUUUUUCGCCGAAGGGGAUUCGAAUGAACCCUCUUGGUUCAAGGUGGCUCCUCCCCUGGUCGCUUUGGAGAAGAUGUCGAUGGAUUUUAGUUUCUUUGUGUAUCUCUUUCGGUUUUAUUUUGGUUUUGCAAUAAUUUGUAUAAAACUGUAACUCUAGUAUAUAUGUGCAAAUAAAUUUGAGGGAUCAUCUAAGGAAGGAGAAAUUACGUACUAA